AGAUAAGAAUGUUGCAUUUGAAAUUGCUAUUUUGAUAGGUGCAUCAGGUUUUUUUCUGUCUUGUGUGUACAGUUGGAAAUCACUGAGCAGAUCACCUUCAGCUUUAAGAAAGCCUGAACAUGUGGACAUAAAUCAAGACUUGAAGUUUUUCAAAGCUCUGGUUUCUCCAAAGAUCCAUAGACAACCUUUGGAAUGUUUUGAGUCUGGAUACAGAGAGGCUGGUGCAGUAUUUGGGUGUCUUCCAAUAUAUGAGCUUGGGAAGCCAGUUGAAGAGAGUGUGCCACAAGGUCUUCGGUGGAACAAAGCUGAGACGUCCAAUCCCACUGGAUAGAUAAUGGAGACAGGUUUCAGUGGAGGGUCAAGACAAAUAAAAUUAGCAUCCAUCUUCA
rnacentral:lncRNA from 1 species